UACGGAGGGUGCAAGCGUUUGUCCGGAUUUAUUGGGUUUAAAGGGUGCGUAGGCGGCCCUGUAGUCAGUGGUGAAAAUACUGCAGCUUAACUGUAGCAUUGCCAUUGAUACUGUAGGGCUUGAGUACAGAUGAGGUAGGCGGAAUUGAUGGUGUAGCGGUGAAAUGCAUAGAUACCAUCAAGAACACCGAUUGCGAAGGCAGCUUACUAGCUGUAACUGACGCUGAGGCACGAAAGCGUGGGGGAUCGAACAGGA
rnacentral:rRNA from 1 species